GUGUCAGCCGCCGCGGUAACACGUAUGGGGCGAGCGUUGUUCGGAAUUAUUGGGCGUAAAGGGCAUGCAGGCGGUUAUACAAGUCUGGUGUGCAAGACCAAGGCUCAACUUUGGGAACGCACUGGAAACUGUAUGACUAGAAUACAGGAGGGGGAGCUGGAAUUCCAAGUGUAGGGGUGUAAUCUGUAGAUAUUUGGAAGAACAUCUGUGGCGAAGGCGAGCUCCUGGCCAUGUAUUGACGCUGAGAUGCGAAAGUGUGGGGAGCGAACAGGAUUAGAUACCCUCGUAGUCC
rnacentral:rRNA from 1 species